AGGUGGUCUCAAAGUGCGGCAAAGAAAGACUGGCCUUCCCCCAGGUCACAGGCCUGAGGACAGGGAGCGUCUGAGCAUGAGGAGAAGGUGGGGGGCGAGACUGGAAGAAAGCCAACUGUACCCGCUCAUGAAGGGCUCGUGGGCCAGGUAAAGGGCUUGGCAAGUUUCAUCGGAGGGUACUGGGGAGCCACGGAAAGUUGUAGGGAGGGAAAUCCCAGCUGCCCGGGCUCCUGGCUUGCCUCAGUCUCCCCAUCUGCAAACUGGGCCUGUGGAAUGCUGCUCUCCUGCGGAGGAGGGUCACACAGGGCCUGACUCAGGAAAACCCUACGUAUAGUCAGAUAGAUAGCUCUGCCCUAGGACAUCGCUCUCUUCCCUGAAUGAGGGGUCUCUGCACCCUGCUUUGGGAGACAGUGUCUCACCGAGUUGCCGAGCACCUUGCCAUUGCUGAGACUGACUUUGAACUCGCCAUCCUCCUGCCUCAGCCUCCCAAGCUGGUAGGAUUACAGGUGUGUGCCGCCACACCAGGUCUGCUUUGCUGUUUUUAAACAAAUCUUUGCUUGUGACUUGCUCUUGGUGUGUCUCAACGUGUCUUUUCAGCAGUGUAAGCCAAGGGCCUGCCUGGAGGAGUGGAGGACCCACUGCUCCCCUGGGAAGGGUCUUCACAGAUCCUGGGACAUUCCUUUGGCAAUCCAGAUGGCACUGAGGAGCCACCCGUGGUGAGUUGAACUGAACGCUUUCU